rnacentral:rRNA from 1 species
UACGUAGGUGCGAGCGUUGUUCGGAGUUACUGGGCGUAAAGGGUGUGUAGGCGGUUGUUUAAGUUUGGUGUGAAAUCUCCCGGCUCAACUGGGAGGGUGCGCCGAAUACUGAAUGACUAGAGUGCGGGAGAGGUGAGUGGAAUUCCUGGUGUAGCGGUGAAAUGCGUAGAUAUCAGGAGGAACACCGGUGGUGUAGACGGCUCACUGGACCGUAACUGACGCUGAGACACGAAAGCGUGGGUAGCAACAGG